GUCUCAGAAUUUUUCUUUCAUAUCAGCAGGCCAAAAGUUAAGAAGGCAGGGAUUCAGUCCAUUUUGAUCCUGAGCCCACCAUGCCCAACAGACUCUUUUGCUGGAUCACCAUUUUUCUCUUUGGAGCAGCUCCCACUGAAGCAGGAAUCACUCAGACACCAAGAUAUCUGGUCACAAGGAUGAAGCAGAAGGUGACACUGAGAUGUGAACAAAAUUUGGGCCAUAAUCACAUGUACUGGUAUCAACAGGAGCCACAUAAAGGACCCAAACUAAUGUUUUAUUUUAGUUAUGGAAAGAUAAAUUUAAAUGAUUCUGUUCCUAAUCGAUUUGACCCUAUAUCAUCAGGGAACGGUCACUUGACCCUUAACAUCCAUCCUGUGGAAGCAGAAGACUCAGCCAUCUACUUUUGUAGUAGCAGCAUAGUCACAGCCUUGCAGAGUCAUCUCCAAGCUGUGCAGAAACCUCCUGACCCCGGCAUAGGAAGAAAGGAGUGA